GAUGAACGCUGGCGGCGUGCCUAAUACAUGCCAGUCGAGCGAACAGACGAGGAGCUUGCUCCUCUGACGUUAGCGGCGGACGGGUGAGUAACACGUGGAUAUCCUACCUAUAAGACUGGGAUAACUUCGGGAAACCGGAGCUAAUACCGGAUAAUAUAUUGAACCGCAUGGUUCAAUAGUGAAAGACGGUUUUGCUGUCACUUAUAGAUGGAUCCGCGCCGCAUUAGCUAGUUGGUAAGGUAACGGCUUACCAAGGCAACGAUGCGUAGCCGACCUGAGAGGGUGAUCGGCCACACUGGAACUGAGACACGGUCCAGACUCCUACGGGAGGCAGCAGUAGGGAAUCUUCCGCAAUGGGCGAAAGCUUGACGGAGCAACGCCGCGUGAGUGAUGAAGGUCUUCGGAUCGUAAAACUCUGUUAUUAGGGAAGAACAAAUGUGUAAGUAACUAUGCACGUCUUGACGGUGCCUAAUCAGAAAGCCACGGCUAACUACGUG
rnacentral:rRNA from 1 species